rnacentral:lncRNA from 10 species
GCCCUACCACCUUCCUCCAUGUGAGGACAUAAUGUUCCUCCCCUCCAAAGGGUACAGCAGCAAGGCACCAUCUUGGAAGCAGAGAGCAGCCCUCACCAGCAUGCAACCUUCUGGUGCCCUGAUCUUAGAGUCCCCAGCCUCCAGAACAUUUUGCAAAUACUUGCUUUUGGCAUCAGCGUACAGUUUGGCAUCUGCUUUGGAAAUAUUCUUGCAACUAAAGGCAGAAAAGACAUCUUUUGUGAAAGUUACUUGAAGCAGAGAGAGGAUGGAGAAGAAGAGGCUGAUAUUCUCCACCUGACCUCUCGGACUUCUCCAAAAGAUGGGAUUUAAUAGGAAGUUAAGAGCACCAAUUCAGAAAUGAGAUUGUUGGGGUUCAGAAUCGCAGGUCUGCAACUCACUACUUGGAUGACUAUGGGCAAGUUUCUUAACCUCUCUGUUCCUCAUUUCCCUCCUCUGUAAACAUGGAGAAAAUGAAAGUAUCUGUUCCAUAGGAGUUUAGUGAGGAAUAUGUGAGUAAACAUAUAAAUGACUGGGAGAAGUGCCAACACAUAGAAAGAAUGAGUUUACAAUUGUUGUUAUGAGAAAGCAUUUAGCUGUAAAAAUUUAGGGACUUAUCUCCAGGAAAAAUAUUCAUUCAUUUGUUCUCUAAACAUUCAUUAGACACCUAAUU